GGGAUCUGCUGGAUCUUGAUGUGUUGCAAACGCUAACUCCUGUGUCUUUUUCUGCAUGUCUUCAAUAGCAACUUCGAUUGGCGUUAAGAUGAUCUAGGCAAAAUAAUACCAAUUAGCCACCAGGUUCUAGAUGCUAACAUGAUGCCAACUGGACUUCUCUGUGUCCUGGAUCCUCACCUCCCUAGAGCCCUGCCCCACUAGGGAAAGAGAGACAGAGGCUGGGAGUAUGGAUCAACCAGUCAACGCCCAUGUUCAGCGGGGAAGCAAUUACAGAAGCCAGACCUUCCACCUUCUGCAGCCCAUAAUGACCCUGGGUCCAUGCUCCCAGAAGGAUAGAGAAUGGGACAGCUAUCAGGGGAGGGGAUGGGAUACGGAGUUCUGGGGGUGGGACCUGUAUGGUUUCUGUCAGUGUUUCCUUUUUAUAAAUAAAAUUUUUUUAAAAUUA